rnacentral:rRNA from 1 species
CCUACGGGUGGCUGCAGUGGGGAAUAUUGCACAAUGGGGGGAACCCUGAUGCAGCGACGCCGCGUGAGCGAAGAAGGGAUUCGUUUCGUAAAGCUCUGUCCUAUGGGAAGAUAAUGACGGUACCAUAGAAGAAAGCCCCGGCUAACUACGUGCCAGCAGCCGCGGUAAUACGUAGGGGGCGAGCGUUGUCCGGAAUCACUGGGCGUAAAGGGUUCGCAGGCGGAUAAACAAGUCAAGAGUAAAAGGCAUGGGCUUAACCCAUGUAAGCUAUUGAAACUGUUUAUCUUGAGAUGUGGAGAGGUAAGUGGAAUUACUAGUGUAGCGGUGAAAUGCGUAGAUAUUAGUAGGAAUACCAGUAGCGAAGGCGACUUACUGGACACAAACUGACGCUGAGGAACGAAAGCGUGGGUAGCAAACAGGAUUAGAUACCCCGGUAGUC